rnacentral:lncRNA from 1 species
AGAAUCCUGGUAUUUAAGUGGAGAAGGGUUAAGGUACAGGUCCAUUAUCCACCGAACUUCAGACUCUGCACCAGUUGGCUCUCAAAAUAUUUCAGUUGUCAACGAAAAUAGAAGAGAUUUUGGGAGCAUAUACCUUGUGAAAAGGAAGGGUACAUAAUUUGUGCAGUCAGGAACUGGUGAAGCUGGGGUAUCAGAAAGUGACUGCAUCAUAGGAUUUAUCCAACAGCUGUUGUUCGAUUGUUUGUGUUCCCUUAAGUAGUGAUUUUUUCUUAAUCAUGAUUAGUUAGGGAGGUUGUAUUCUAGUAAUCUGUGCAUUAUUUUCUAUUUUGGAACAUGCGUACACACCCCCUAGUAGCUUCAAAGAGAAAUCAAGUUGUGCAUUCUCAAUGUGUCUCCCUCUCUUCGUCUUACUAUAGAAUUCUGAAGGACAACACUAAAUCCUUGGCUUUUGGUUAUUUUGAGACUUAACUGCUAUGUCAUACUUUUUCAGGAUUUCAAAGACAAAAUACCCAUGCUACAAUAGAAAUCUGGUCAAAUGGAUUUUGUCUGAACCAACAGAUCGUCUCUGCUGAGCCUUCUGCAGCACAUUGCAUGCAUAUAUCUUCUGUUCAGCAAUAAUAACUAGAUGACUCCAGCUACUUGGAAGUCUUCAAGCCAGUCAUAAUCCUUAAUGAGGUGUUACAACUGCAGUCAAUAUGACCUCGACCUUUGCUUUUGCAGAGAAAGGACAGUUGCUUACCAGAUGUUUAUAAAUUGGUUCUUUCGUACAACCAAUUGGAUAUUCUUGUGUUGUGUGAAUUCCUUUUUACCAAAAGUUAUGAGGAACCUCAGAGGUUUUGGGCCCUCAAGGAGGAAUUCGAGAAGUCCUCAGGGCUUUCGUCUAUUGGUAAGAGCACAACGCAUGAUGUGUGGAUUAGGUGCAUGUCACAAGUUUGAACUCUGCCGCAGACAGAAUCCUGGUAUUUAAGUGGAGAAGGGUUAAGGUACAGGUCCAUUAUCCACCGAACUUCAGACUGUGCACCAGUUGGCUCUCAAAAAAUUUCAGUUGUCAACGAAAAUAGAAGAGAUUUUGGGAGCAUAUACCUUGUGAAAAGGAAGGGUACAUAAUUUGUGCAGUCGGGAACUGGUAAAGCUGGCCGCUGUGGUAUCAGAAAGUGACUGCAUCAUAGGAGUUAUUUGUUGUCAUUAGUCUGCUGAAGCUGAAAGCAUUAGACCCGAACACAGGACUU